rnacentral:tRNA from 1 species
GGGAAGGUGGCUCAGUGGUAGAGUGCUUGUCUUGCAUACAUGAGGCCCUGGGUU